GAUGAACGCUAGCUACAGGCUUAACACAUGCAAGUCGAGGGGAAACGGCAUUGAGUGCUUGCACUCUUUGGACGUCGACCGGCGCACGGGUGAGUAACGCGUAUCCAACCUUCCCAUUACUGUGGGAUAACCUGCCGAAAGGCAGACUAAUACCGCAUAGUCUUCGUUGACGGCAUCAGAUAUGAAGUAAAGAUUUAUCGGUAAUGGAUGGGGAUGCGUCUGAUUAGCUUGUUGGCGGGGUAACGGCCCACCAAGGCGACGAUCAGUAGGGGUUCUGAGAGGAAGGUCCCCCACAUUGGAACUGAGACACGGUCCAAACUCCUACGGGAGGCAGCAGUGAGGAAUAUUGGUCAAUGGACGGAAGUCUGAACCAGCCAAGUAGCGUGCAGGAUGACGGCCCUAUGGGUUGUAAACUGCUUUUGUAUGGGGAUAAAGUUAGGGACGUGUCCCUAUUUGCAGGUACCAUACGAAUAAGGACCGGCUAAUUUCGUGCCAGCAGCCGCGGUAAUACGGAAGGUCCAGGCGUUAUCCGGAUUUAUUGGGUUUAAAGGGAGCGUAGGCUGGAGAUUAAGUGUGUUGUGAAAUGUAGACGCUCAACGUCUGAAUUGCAGCGCAUACUGGUUUCCUUGAGUACGCACAACGUUGGCGGAAUUCGUCGUGUAGCGGUGAAAUGCUUAGAUAUGACGAAGAACUCCGAUUGCGAAGGCAGCUGACGGGAGCGCAACUGACGCUUAAGCUCGAAGGUGCGGGUAUCGAACAGG
rnacentral:rRNA from 1 species